GAGAGUUAAACAGUACGUGAAAUUGUUGAAAGGGAAACGAUUGAAGCCAGUCGUACCUUCGGGUAAUCAGCCUUUCGGGUGCGAUUAUGUGGAGUGUGAGGAGCUUAAACACCUUCAUGUUUUGCAUAUUCGUACUCUUGGGUGUACUUGCCCGUGUGGUUGGUUAACAUCAAUUUUGGUGGUCAUAAAAUGACUGGGGGAAUGUAGCUUCGAUCUUGUAUUGAAGUGUUAUAGCCUUCGGUAGAUGUGAUGAUCGAGAUUGAGGAUUGCAACGGAUACCCUUCGGGGCUACCUGUCUGAUCUCUGAUCGUUGCUCUGGUGCCGAAAGCUUGCUUAUGAUGUUAGGGUAUUACGGUCAAAAGGUUAGAACGGAUUAAAUUCGUUAAGGAUGUUGACGUAAUGACUUUAAACGA
rnacentral:rRNA from 1 species